UCUAGAUGAUCAAGGACAUAGAUAUACUGGCAUUGCAAGCACCUCGCAGACAAAGCCAGAACAAAGUGAGCAUUGCGAGACUAUCUUGCUGGGCUAGCUACAUACAUUCACAAAAAUGACCUUUGUAUCUACAGAGGUGUUUUCAGGGGGAAUAUGGGAUUUUCAGAGAGGAUCAUGGAUAUGGAGGAAGCUGUCAUGUUAAGUAUUCAUCCAAAACUCUCAGGGAGAAGAAAUGUGUAAUUAUCAUGUAACAUAUGUAAGUAUCAUGAUAAUUGUCAGAGAAAAAGGCAACAAAUCUCUAAAAUAUCAGUGUAUGUUUGGACCAUGAACUUUCAUCCUAAAGACUGAAGGAUUUACUGUAGAUUGUGGAAUAUUUUCACAAAAGACUCAGCUGUGAAACACUGCUGACCCCUCAUGGUCAGUUCAAAGUUCAACACCAUGUCUAUGACGACUAAUCCAAAGGAAGAUGGCCUGACUGACACACCAGCAACGCCACAUACAUUUACAUAUUAGUAAUUUAGUAGACGCGCUUAUCCAGAGCGUUUUACAGGAGCAAUUAGGAUGAACUGUCUUGCUCAAGGGCACAACGGAUCGGUGAUACUCCAACACUAUUAACCGUUAUGCUACACGCCACUACCUAGAGAUAAUGGCUUUAUGUUCGGUGGCAUUCAAUGACAUCCUGAAGCUCAUUGCAUCCUAGAAAAGAUUAAACACUUUCUCUUAAAUGGAAAUAGCAGAUUUGACCCUAUCAUUAAAAGAUAAGAAUCAAUUAUUGGAGGAUGAAUCCGAAUCAGAUUGAGCAUGUGAUUGAGGAAACAAGAGCAAAUUAUGAAUCUAAAAAACAAUCAAUAGGAGAAUGACAAGAACAAUGCACCCUCUAAAUUCACCACGACCAUUUCAUGGCUUAUUUUCCACACGAAGGCACUUCUGGUGCACCACGCAAUUAAUCUUGUGACAAAUGUUCCAUACACAUUAUUACUGAAAUAUUUAACAGGAGAAUUCAUCUUUCCACAUAUUAUCCUCCAGUACGUGCUAAUUGAAUGUGGGUAGAGGUCAGCCCAACCCUCAAACCCACUUCAUUAUCACAACACUUCUCAUGCUCUACUGGGACAAACAAAAAAAGGGAAAGUACAAAAUACGUCAUUUGACAAAGGACUCACAUCUCCGGGAAACAGAUUUUUAUUGUAUAAAGAGUUGUAGUCCUACAUUUCUUUCACAUAGAGGUAGCUGCAGUAGGGUCAAAACAAAGCAGUAACAGCCCAUUCAGGAGUCUCGCUCAGUUAGCCCAAAUGGACACAAUGUCCAUCUGCCUAUAGUCCACUGUUUAUAAGACAUCUAUAGAAAGUCUGACCCUGUGCAUCUUCUAGCUGUCUCAGCAGACUCUCCUUUCUUACCAGGGCAUUGAGGCUGACACAGCGAGACAUCAGGCCGGCAGAGGACAUUGUGUAUGUAGGUCACCCAGCGACCUGUGUCGUAUCGUGUGACAGCCACAGCGGUCAUUGUCCCUGUGCUGUAGUGCCGGCCGCCCAGCGGGAGGUGGGAUAGGGAUUAGAGUGGACAGACCACGGUGGGGCUGAGCACAGAGGCCCCCAACACGUCAGCAUGAACUUUCUCAUUUCCUCCCUUAACGACUUUGACAUUAUCAGGCCAGGCAGUGCAAUGUCCAGCCGCAUUACUCUCACCGGGCUUACAUUAUUCAGAAUGGCCGGAAUGGUGAAGGGAUACUGUAAGAGGCAGUACUAGGGUUCAGAUGACUGGAGAAACAACAUGGUGAAGGGAUAGGAGGCAGUACUAGGGUUCAGAUGACAACAUGGUGAAGGGAUAGGAGGCAGUACUAGGGUUCAGAUGACUGGAGAGACAACAUGGUGAAGGGAUAGGAGGUAGUACUAGGGUUCAGAUGACUGGAGAGACAACAUGGUGAAGGGAUAGGAGGCAGUACUAGGGUUCAGAUGACUGGAGAAACAACAUGGUGAAGGGAUAGGAGGCAGUACUAGGGUUCAGAUGACUGGAGAAACAACAUGGUGAAGGGAUAGGAGGCAGAACUAGGGUUCAGAUGACAACAUGGUGAAGGGAUAGGAGGCAGUACUAGGGUUCAGAUGACUGGAGAGACAACAUGGUGAAGGGAUAGGAGGCAGUACUAGGGUUCAGAUGACUGGAGAGACAACAUGGUGAAGGGAUAGGAGGCAGUACUAGGGUUCAGAUGACUGGAGAAACAACAUGGUGAAGGGAUAGGAGGCAGUACUAGGGUUCAGAUGACUGGAGAAACAACAUGGUGAAGGGAUAGGAGGCAGUACUAGGGUUCAGAUGACAACAUGGUGAAGGGAUAGGAGGCAGUACUAGGGUUCAGAUGACAACAUGGUGAAGGGAUAGGAGGCAGUACUAGGGUUCAGAUGACUGGAGAGACAACAUGGUGAAGGGAUAGGAGGCAGUACUAGGGUUCAGAUGACUGGAGAAACAACAUGGUGAAGGGAUAGGAGGCAGUACUAGGGUUCAGAUGACUGGAGAAACAACAUGGUGAAGGGAUAGGAGGCAGAACUAGGGUUCAGAUGACAACAUGGUGAAGGGAUAGGAGGCAGUACUAGGGUUCAGAUGACAACAUGAUGAAGGGAUAGGAGGCAGUACUAGGGUUCAGAUGACUGGAGAGACAACAUGGUGAAGGGAUAGGAGGCAGAACUAGGGUUCAGAUGACUGGAGAGACGACAUGGUGAAGGGAUAGGAGGCAGUACUAGGGUUCAGAUGACUGGAGAGACGACAUGGUGAAGGGAUAGGAGGCAGUACUAGGGUUCAGAUGACUGGAGAGACAACAUGGUGAAGGGAUAGGAGGCAGUACUAGGGUUCAGAUGACAACAUGGUGAAGGGAUAGGAGGCAGUACUAGGGUUCAGAUGACAACAUGGUGAAGGGAUAGGAGGCAGUACUAGGGUUCAGAUGACUGGAGAAACAAUAUGA